rnacentral:rRNA from 1 species
GACAGAGGUGCCGAGCGUUAGGCGGAAUCACUGGGCUUAAAGCGUGUGUAGGCGGAUCGUUAAGUACCUUGUGAAAUCCCACGGCUUAACCGUGGAACUGCUGGGUAUACUGGCGAUCUUGAGCCACCUAGGGGCAACCGGAACAAAUGGUGGAGCGGUGAAAUGCGUAGAUAUCAUUUGGAACGCCAAUGGUGAAAACAGGUUGCUGGGGGUGUGCUGACGCUGAGACACGAAAGCCAGGGGAGCAAACAGG